rnacentral:rRNA from 1 species
AUUGAACGCUGGCGGCAUGCCUUACACAUGCAAGUCGAACGGUAACAGGUUAAGCUGACGAGUGGCGACCGGGUGAGUAAUGUAUCGGAACGUGCCCAGUCGUGGGGGAUAACUGCUCGAAAGAGCAGCUAAUACCGCAUACGACCUGAGGGUGAAAGCGGGGGAUCGCAAGACCUCGCGCGAUUGGAGCGGCCGAUAUCAGAUUAGGUAGUUGGUGAGGUAAAGGCUCACCAAGCCGACGAUCUGUAGCUGGUCUGAGAGGACGACCAGCCACACUGGGACUGAGACACGGCCCAGACUCCUACGGGAGGCAGCAGUGGGGAAUUUUGGACAAUGGGCGCAAGCCUGAUCCAGCCAUGCCGCGUGCGGGAAGAAGGCCUUCGGGUUGUAAACCGCUUUUGUCAGGGAAGAAAAGGUUCUGGCUAAUACCUGGGACUCAUGACGGUACCUGAAGAAUAAGCACCGGCUAACUACGUG